rnacentral:rRNA from 1 species
GGGGGGGGCAAGCGUUGUUCGGAAUUACUGGGCGUAAAGGGCUCGUAGGCGGCCAACUAAGUCGGACGUGAAAUCCCUCGGCUUAACCGGGGAACUGCGUCCGAUACUGGAUGGCUCGAGUGUGGGAGAGGGAUGCGGAAUUCCAGGUGUAGCGGUGAAAUGCGUAGAUAUCUGGAGGAACACCGGUGGCGAAGGCGGCAUCCUGGACCACGACUGACGCUGAGGAGCGAAAGCCAGGGGAGCAAACGGGAUUAGAUACCCCGGUAGUCCUGGCCCUAAACGAUGAAUGCUUGGUGUGGCGGGUAUCGAUCCCUGCCGUGCCGAAGCUAACGCAUUAAGCAUUCCGCCUGGGGAGUACGGUCGCAAGGCUGAA